CAAUAGCGUAUAUUUAAGUUGUUGCAGUUAAAAAGCUCGUAGUUGGAUUUCGGAUGGGACUUGCCGGUCCGUCGUUUCGAUGUGCACUGGCCAGUCCUAUCUUGUUGUCGGGGACUAGCUCCUGGGCUUCACUGUCCGGGACUAGGAGCUGACGAGGUUACUUUGAGUAAAUUAGAGUGUUCAAAGCAAGCCUACGCUCUGAAUACAUUAGCAUGGAAUAACACGAUAGGACUCUGGCUUAUCUUGUUGGUCUGUGAGACCAGAGUAAUGAUUAAGAGGGACAGUCGGGGGCAUUCGUAUUUCAUUGUCAGAGGUGAAAUUCUUGGAUCGUAGCACGACGAAUAACUGCGAANGNAUUUGCNAAGAAUGUUUNCAUUA
rnacentral:rRNA from 1 species